UGGUUUUUUUUUUUUUUAAAUAAUUUUAUUUGUUUGUUUUUGGCUGUGCUGGGUCUUUGUUGCUACAUGGGCUUUCUCUAGUUGCCGCGAACAGGGUCUGUUCUCUAGUUGCGGUGAGCGGGCUUCUCACUGCAGUGGCUCCCCUUGUUGCAGAACACAGGCUCUAGGGCACAGGAGGGCUUCAGCGGUUUGCUCUGCGGCAUGUGGGAUCUUCCCAGACCAGGGAUCGAACCUGAGUCUCCUGCACUGGCAGGUGGAUUCUUUACCUCUGAGCCUCUAGGGAAGCCUCUCAAAUGAGGGGAGUGAUACCUUUAGGGGUGCUAUUUCCCUCUGUGCUCAGUCAUUGUAGAGGCUAGCCCUACUCCCCACCCACCACUUUCAUCUUUUCAGUUAGAUGUGUUUUCUUUUAUGAAAUGGUAGGAAGUUGGAGUGGAGGUCAGAGGGUCUUCCUUAGAGCAUUGCAGUAGCCUGGAGGGUGUCUUGCCCAUACAAAAAGGCUCAAAGGAUGUUGCUUAACAAAACAGCCUUUCAAAGAAUAUCCAGAGCCAGAGCAAGGUCCAGACUCCCUGGGGCUGUUUUGGCAUUUCAGCUGCCAUGUCAGAAGAGUGCCCUUGUGGUGCAUAGGGGUCAGUUUUCCUGAAAAACCUGUUCUGGGGACAGAGUCCACCCCAGGGGAGUAGGGAGCUAGGCAGCCAUCCCAGAGUGAGACCCCAUUAAUCUUUGCUCAGCUGAUUGGAAGGGAGCUGAAUAAUCAUUUAUGUGCUCAUUGCGACAGGCACCUGGGCUCCAGGUUGAGACAAGUGGCCUCAGGUAGCCUCGAUAUUAAUGCGGCUCAUUAUGUAGAUUGCUUCACUGGGAGAUGGGAGAUACGCUGCGGCCUUGGGAGUCCCUGCGGGGAAGGCAGGCUUUGUGGGACCCAGCCCUUGGCGCGCUCAUCGAUGCUCUGUCUGGGAAAACCGGGGUGUCCGCGCCAGUUCCUGGAGUGGCUGAUCCUCAUAGCUGCUUUCCCUGUGACAGUCUGCCUCUCCAGGACGAUCCUGGUGUGGCCGCUCACAGAGAGACGGGCCCUCUGGGAAGGAGAAGCUCCGGAGCCAGGGCCCGCAGCUGCAAUCUUGCCUCAUCGCAGUUGCCAGCAAUAGGGGGGCGGGCUUCACCCUGCCUGCUAGUCUCCCAAGUUCCUCUUUUGGGCAUGUGCCUGCCCCUCCGUGUUCCCGUGGCUGCGUGGAAGUGGACCGAGGCCCAGAGGGUGACUAAGAGGGGAAGCCCCUGCGCCGAGGCUCCCAGCGGCUCCUGGAUUGCGUAAGGGCUAUUUUUGAGGCAAUUGCAGACCAUCUGAUGAAUCAUAGCAAACACACAUGGCCCUGGUGGUGGGGACAAUCCUUCCUCAUGAAGCUGUGGAAAGCGGAGCUUCUCAAAAUGAAUCAGCAGCAGCUGAACCCCACGUCCGUGGGAGGAGGGUAAGGCUGCGAAUUACACGUUUCUGAAGUAUAGGGGUGCGGCCUCUGGGGGCCUGGGAGUGGGAGCUGCAGGAACC
rnacentral:lncRNA from 1 species